rnacentral:rRNA from 1 species
CAGCUAGCUUAUCCACCAACAUAAUUAAACAAUAUAAAUAAAAUAGAAUAGACCAAAUACUAAAAACUAAACCAUUCUUUUACCUGAGUAUGGGAGACAGAAAAGGUUCAACCAAAGCAAUAGAAAUAGUACCGCAAGGGAAAGCUGAAAGAGAAAUGAAAUAACCCAUAUAAGUACUAAAAAGCAAAGACUAAACCUUGUACCUUUUGCAUCAUGAUUUAGCCAGUAAACACAAGCAAAGAGACCUUUAGUUUGAAACCCCGAAACCAGGUGAGCUACCCCGAGACAGCCUAUUAAGGGCCAACCCGUCUCUGUGGCAAAAGAGUGGGAAGAGCUCCGGGUAGAAGUGACAGACCUACCGAACCUGGUGAUAGCUGGUUGCCUAAGAAAUGGAUAGAAGUUCAGCCUCGUAUACCUCAAAUCAAAUAAGCACUAACCAAGACACUAAGAGAAAGACACGAGAGUUAGUUAAAGGGGGUACAGCCCCUUUAACAAAGGAUACAACCUUAUACAGGAGGAUAAAGAUCAUAAUAUUUAAAACAUACUGUUUUAGUGGGCCUAAAAGCAGCCACCUAAACAGAAAGCGUUAAAGCUCAGACAGAAAAAAGUUUAUUAUUCUGAUAAAAAAUCUUACUCCCCUAAAUACUAUUAGGCUAAUCCAUGCCCCCAUGGAAGAAAUUAUGCUAAAAUGAGUAACAAGAAGGCCCGCCCUUCUCCAAGCACAAGUGUAAGCCAAAACGGACCAACCAUUGGCAACUAACGAACUCAACCCAAGAGAGCAAUGUGAACCAUAAAAAAAACAAGAAAAACCCACAACUCAAUAAUCGUUAACCCCACACUGGAGUGCUAUUAAAGGAAAGACUAAAAGAAAAGGAAGGAACUCGGCAAACACAAGCCUCGCCUGUUUACCAAAAACAUCGCCUCCUGCAACACAGCCAUGUAUAGGAGGUCCAGCCUGCCCAGUGACUACAAGUUCAACGGCCGCGGUAUUUUGACCGUGCAAAGGUAGCGCAAUCACUUGUCUUUUAAAUAGAGACCUGUAUGAAUGGCUAAACGAGGGCUUAACUGUCUCCCCUUUCAAGUCAGUGAAAUUGAUCUGCCCGUGCAGAAGCG